UAAAACGUAGGACACAAGCGUUAUCCGGAGUUACUGGGCGUAAAGGGCGUGCAGGCGGUUUCUUAAGUCAGGCGUGAAACCAUUCGGCUAAACCGGGUGUAGUCGUCUGAGACUGGGAGACUAGAGUGUGGUAGAGGCGUGUAGAAUUCCGGGUGUAGUGGUGAAAUGCGUAGAUAUCCGGAGGAAUACCAGUGGCGAAGGCGGCACGCUGGGCCAUAACUGACGCUAAGACGCGAAAGCAUGGGUAGCGAACGGGAUUAGAAACCCCGGUAGUCCAUGCCGUAAACGAUGUACACUGGGUGUUCAGACGGGGAAGCUCGUCGGGGUGCCUAAGCCAACGCGCUAAGUGUACCGCCUGGGGAGUACGGUCGCAAGGCUA
rnacentral:rRNA from 1 species